rnacentral:rRNA from 1 species
UUGACCUCGGAUCAGGUAGGGAUACCCGCUGAACUUAAGCAUAUCAAUAAGCGGAGGAAAAGAAACCAACAGGGAUUACCUCAGUAACGGCGAGUGAAGCGGUAACAGCUCAAAUUUGAAAGCUGCCAACAGGCCGCGUUGUAAUUUGUAGAAGCUGCUUUGGGUGUCGGCCCGGUCUAAGUUCCUUGGAACAGGACGUCAUAGAGGGUGAGAAUCCCGUAUGUGAUCGGUGCCGUUGCCCGUGUAAAGCGCUUUCGACGAGUCGAGUUGUUUGGGAAUGCAGCUCAAAAUGGGUGGUAAAUUUCAUCUAAAGCUAAAUAUUGGCCAGAGACCGAUAGCGCACAAGUAGAGUGAUCGAAAGAUGAAAAGCACUUUGGAAAGAGAGUUAAACAGUACGUGAAAUUGUUGAAAGGGAAGCGCUUGCAACCAGACUUGCGGGCGGUCGAUCAUCCGAGGUUCUCCCCGGUGCACUCGAUCGUUCUCAGGCCAGCAUCGGUUUCCGGGGUGGGAUAAAGGCGGUGGGAAUGUGGCUCUUCGGAGUGUUAUAGCCCACCGUGCAAUGCCGCCACUGGGGACCGAGGACCGCGCUUCGGCUAGGAUGCUGGCGUAAUGGUUGUAAGCGACCCGUCUUGAAAACGGGACCACGGACCCGUCUUGAAACACGGACCACG